AGAACAGAGACUCUGAGUUUACUGAAAGUUCACUGAGUUACUGAGGUGUCCACAGAAGAGGAUUUCACUUGCAUAAGAAAGGCACAGGGAAUCAAGCAGCCCUGGCAUCUGUGGCGUGCCAGAGAGAAGGCUCAAGCAGAAUAUACUUCCUCAUCCAUCUAGUGCAACAGGGGAUUACUCCACAGACCUGGCAUAUGCUGCAGCAGCCUUAUAUCCAGCCCUGCCUCCUGCCACUCCUGAAGGAACCCCUGAGAUCACUCCAGACUUGACCCAUGAUGUUAUAUAUGGGACUGCUGAUGGAUGCUGCUCCUCUCACGGCCCUGCCUUCCUGAGGUGCUGCUGUUCUUUUGUCAGAGAGAACAUUAUCCUGCCUGUGCUCAGCUCUUGGCUCAUACUCUUCAACAGACCAGUGAACCAUCCUCUUCUGAACUGGACCAGAUCCCUCUAACCAAGGGCUUUUGUUGCUCCCGGAAAAACAGGUACAUAAAACAAGAAUUUUUCCCCAGCAAAUUUACAUUCAGUAUCAGCAAAUUAGGAACAAAUUUAUGUUUGCUUGAAUUUUGUGAAUCAUGUUUAAUGCUUCUGAGUUUUAAGGGCAGAGAGGACUUCUACACCUCACUCAUAAAGAAUUAGUGAUACAUUUUUCUACAAUGUAUUUCUUGCACCAUUCCAAAUAUUUUUUAAUCUGGUAUUAUUCAGUUCCUGUCAUAAAGAAGCCUAAUAUAUUCAUAAAACCCAACCUUUACUUAUAACCCUUUUUCAGAGCUUUAACUGCUAGAUUGUAUCUGCAAUUUAAAAUUUGGCUUCAGACUGCAUAAUUUACCAAGUAUAUUCUCUCAGCAGCUGUUGAUUUAGGCAAAAAAAUCACAGUAAAAUCACUGUGAAAGAAGAGACAUCCACAGUUAAAAUCUAAAACUAGACAAAGACAAAUCUUCCUUUGACUAUUUGGUGCCUACCUGGGAGUUUUACCUCUAAGGGUGGGAGAAAUGUGCAACAUUUACCUGCUGGUGAAAAUGUGAGCAGAUAGAUGUACCGUAUCUUAUACAGCCUCAGAGAAGAACGCAAGAAAAUCUGGCAAGCAGGUGCUUUGCCUCUUCCAUUAUGAAAAAUUGAUCAGCUUAAGUGCUUCACAGUACAGGUGAAGUACACAUCACACUGAUAUAAGUCAUCAUAUGCACGGCUUCUAAGGGUGAACAUGGUGAGAUGUGUGUCAGCCAUGCAACAAUUCCAUCCCUGUACUAUUCCUGGGGUCAGAUCAACUACAAAGAAACUCUAUAUGCAGCUGAUGAAGGCAAGCAGCCAUUGGUCAUAACUGUGAUCCAUCCCUAGACUAGAUUAAAAAAAUGCCACUAGGGUGGAUUCCUCAUAUUAGGGAAUCUCUCUGCUUAUUCUGACUGAGUUUGAAUUGUGCUUGUCUUGUCAAGAAUUUCAUAACAUUCUAUAAAAUUAUAGGGUUGACUCUAUGAACGAAAUUGACAGGAUCCAAAUUUACAGCAAUAUUCGUGAAUGAGAAUCUAGGACUAGUUUUAUGAUAAACAAAUCUAUAGGCAAAUAUUCAAUAAACUGGGGGAACUCACAUCUCUGGGUUGUAAUUAUGAGACACGCCCCUUUGAAUUUCAGUGGAUGCAGGAUUUCCUUAUUACUCCUGCAAGGAAUCAAAAACUCUUUCCUGUGCUGCACAAUAAUUUUGCCUGUACUGCUUUAACAUACACCAGGCAAUUUACAGAUGAAGGAUAUUUUCUUCCAAUUCAGUCAAGCAGUAAUAAGUCUCACAGUUCACUUCUUGAUCUCAUCCUAUUACUUCACUAUUUUUUCAUUUCAUUGUUCCAAUCAUGAUGUCCUCAGACAGUAUCAUUUUUCCUGCUUUCUCCUAGUGGCACUGAUGCCUCAUCUUUACCAUAUGCAAUCAAUCUCUGGCCUGCCUCUGAAAAGGAUAUUCCCCCAUACAGUUUGACUCAUCAUUUUUUAACAGUCGUUAUCUUUUUCCUUGUUGCUGUAUAUUUUUUUGUUCUGCUUUGGUUUGGGGUUGUUGGUUCCUUGGUUUUUGGGGCUUUUUGGUUAGGUAUGUUUAUUAUUUUUCUGCUCUUCUUCUUCCUUAUUAUAGCGCAAUAUAAAAGUCACCUUCAGAUAGAUGCCACAAACUCAACCUACCCCUUUGAACAGGGAAGACAUUGCUUCUUCCGUUCACCACAAAAAUCAAAAUGCCUACCAAAGAGUGGGAGAACAUGCAGAGGCAGUAACAUAAAGGUGAAAGACUGUGAUGACCUUUCCCCACCUGUAACAGUAAGUUUAGAGUCUGUACUGGUAACUUAUGAGAAUCCAUGGCUUUCAGAAAAAUGAGAUCACUUCCCAAAGCUGUACAUGCUGUAAUUACAUCACAGUUGUAAUAUUGUCAACAAAUUCUCAGAACAGCAAGCUCUUGUCAUUCUAAACAAGUACAUUUUUAAUCAUUAAAUGAAAAGAUUUCAAUUCCAGGGGCUAGAGAAAAAUAUAUCAUCUCUCUGCAAAAAUGAGAGAAUUCUAGUGUUUCAAAGAGUAGUCCCAUUAGUCAGCACACUAAUGUGUUCCACAGAAGCCCACAUCAUGUGAUGAUCUUUCCUGACCAAGAAAAAAACCAACAAACUUAUAUUUAAUAACCAAAUUUGAUUUAUGUACUGCAGAAAUGCAAAUAUUUCUUUGUCCUGUAUUCCUUCUCAAGGGCUGGAACCAGUAAAA